rnacentral:lncRNA from 1 species
GCCCCCUCGCCUGGUAUCUGUGGAGAAGCCCAGGCAAGAAAGGGACUGGCAGGAAGUUCUGCGGCCGCCCGCGGUGCUCUGGAAGAAGGGCUGUAUGAGCGGUGACGCCCCCUCUGAAUGCCUCGCUCGGAUUGGCCUACUUCUUGGAUCAGACUGGACGGUGGCCAGAGGAGGACAAGAGAGUUCCAUACGGUCUGGAGGGACGAUUUGGGUCACAUCUGAGAAGGAGUUGCACAUCAACAAGCGUCCAGGCUCCAGGGACAUGGCGGCGGCCUCUGUGAUGUCGGUGCUGCUGAUGGCGACUGAGAGGAACCGGUGGCAGCGAGUCCAGAGCCUGCUGCUGCUGCUGCCGCCCAGGCAACGGUGGGUGGAAAGGCGGCUGUGUUCCUGCCCAGGGAUGGGGGCUUGGGGUGUUGGCCCGCCUGAGCGGUGCGAGUUGCGGGGGUUCGGGAGGCUCGGUAGAAUCUGCUUGUCAGCGGAUUCUGCUUUCAGCCCCACCCGUGAGAAGUCCUCCUCCACCCAGCCCUCCCCUAUCUUCCCCUGCUCGAGAUUCACUCUUCAACCUGCCCUUUGCCUUAGUUUCUCCCGUUAG